GACGAACGCUGGCGGCGUGCUUAACACAUGCAAGUCGAACGGUGAACCUCUUCGGAGGGGAUCAGUGGCGAACGGGUGAGUAACACGUGGGCAACCUGCCCCCGGCUCUGGGAUAACUCCAAGAAAUUGGGGCUAAUACCGGAUGUUCACCGCUUCCCGCAUUGGUGGUGGUGGAAAGGGUUUCCGGCUGGGGAUGGGCCCGCGGCCUAUCAGCUUGUUGGUGGGGUAGUGGCCUACCAAGGCGACGACGGGUAGCCGGCCUGAGAGGGUGACCGGCCACACUGGGACUGAGACACGGCCCAGACUCCUACGGGAGGCAGCAGUGGGGAAUAUUGCGCAAUGGGCGGAAGCCUGACGCAGCGACGCCGCGUGGGGGAUGACGGCCUUCGGGUUGUAAACCUCUUUCAGCAGGGACGAAGCGCAAGUGACGGUACCUGCAGAAGAAGCACCGGCCAACUACGUG
rnacentral:rRNA from 1 species